rnacentral:rRNA from 1 species
ACAGAGGGUGCAAGCGUUAAUCGGAGUUACUGGGCGUAAAGGGCGCGUAGGCUGAUAUUUAAGUUAAUUGUGAAAUCCCUGGGCUUAACCUAGGAAUUGCAUUUAAUACUGAGAAUCUAGAGUAUGGUAGAGGAAAGUGGAAUUCUUGGUGUAGGGGUUAAAUACGUAGAUAUCGAGAAGAAGACCGGUGGCGAAGGCGACCUACUGGUACAUUAUUGACGCUGAGGUGCUAAAGCGUGGGGAGCACACAG